GGAAGCAAGUAAAGUGGCGAACGGGUGAGUAACACGUAAGAAUCUACCUUUCAGUGAAGAAUACCCUCGAGAAAUCGAGGUUAAUACUGCAUAAGCCCUGCGGGGGAAAGACGGCCUCUUUGCUGUCGCUGAGAGAUGAGCUUGCGGACUAUUAGUUUGUUGGUGGGGUAAAGGCCUACCAAGACUGUGAUGGAUAGCCGACCUGAGAGGGUGACCGGCCACACUGGAACUGACACACGGUCCAGACUCC
rnacentral:rRNA from 1 species